UAAAUCAGUUAUCGUUUAUUUGAUAGUACCUUACUACUUGGAUAACCGUGGUAAUUCUAGAGCUAAUACAUGCUAAAAACCCCGACUUCGGGAGGGGUGUAUUUAUUAGAUAAAAAACCAAUGCCCUUCGGGGCUCUUUGGUGAUUCAUAAUAACUUAACGGAUCGCAUGGCCUUGCGCCGGCGACGGUUCAUUCAAAUUUCUGCCCUAUCAACUUUCGAUGGUAAGGUAUUGGCUUACCAUGGUUUCAACGGGUAACGGGGAAUUAGGGUUCGAUUCCGGAGAGGGAGCCUGAGAAACGGCUACCACAUCCAAGGAAGGCAGCAGGCGCGCAAAUUACCCAAUCCCGACACGGGGAGGUAGUGACAAUAAAUACUGAUACAGGGCUCUUUUGGGUCUUGUAAUUGGAAUGAGUACAAUUUAAACCCCUUAACGAGGAACAAUUGGAGGGCAAGUCUGGUGCCAGCAGCCGCGGUAAUUCCAGCUCCAAUAGCGUAUAUUAAAGUUGUUGCAGUUAAAAAGCUCGUAGUUGAAACUUGGGCCUGGCUGGCCGGUCCGCCUCACCGCGUGUACUGGUCCGGCCGGGCCUUUCCUUCUGGAGAGCCUCAUGCCCUUCACUGGGUGUGUUGGGGAACCAGGACUUUUACUUUGAAAAAAUUAGAGUGUUCAAAGCAGGCCUUUGCUCGAAUACGUUAGCAUGGAAUAAUAGAAUAGGACGUGCGAUCCUAUUUUGUUGGUUUCUAGGACCGCCGUAAUGAUUAAUAGGGAUAGUCGGGGGCAUCAGUAUUCAAUUGUCAGAGGUGAAAUUCUUGGAUUUAUUGAAGACUAACUACUGCGAAAGCAUUUGCCAAGGAUGUUUUCAUUAAUCAGUGAACGAAAGUUAGGGGAUCGAAGACGAUCAGAUACCGUCGUAGUCUUAACCGUAAACUAUGCCGACUAGGGAUCGGGCGAUGUUAUUAUUUUGACUCGCUCGGCACCUUACGAGAAAUCAAAGUUUUUGGGUUCUGGGGGG
rnacentral:rRNA from 1 species